rnacentral:rRNA from 1 species
GUACUUUCAGCAGUGAGGAAGGUGGGUAUGUUAAUAGCAUACUCAUUUGACGUUAGCUGCAGAAGUAAGCACCGGCUAACUCCGUGCCAGCAGCCGCGGUAAUACGGAGGGUGCGAGCGUUAAUCGGAAUUACUGGGGCGUAAAAGCGCAUGCAGGUGGUUUGUUAAGUCAGAUGUGAAAGCCCGGGGCUCAACCUCGGAAUUGCAUUUGAAAACUGGCAAACUAGAGUACUGUAGAGGGGGUAGGAAUUUCAGGUGUAGCGGUGAAAUGCGUAGAGAUCUGAAGGAAUACCGGUGGCGAAGGCGGCCCCCUGGACAGAUACUGACACUCAGAUGCCGAAAGCGUGGGGAGCAAACAGGAUUAGAUACCCUGGUAG